GGCCCCAUCGUCUAGCGGUCUAGGACACCGGCCUUUCACGCCGGCAACACGGGUUCGAGUCCCGUUGGGGUCA
rnacentral:tRNA from 2 species